rnacentral:piRNA from 1 species
UGCGGUGAGCCGAGAUCACGCCAUUGCC